CCUACGGGAGGCAGCAGUGGGGAAUAUUGGACAAUGGGGGAAACCCUGAUCCAGCGACGCCGCGUGAGUGAAGAAGUAUUUCGGUAUGUAAAGCUCUAUCAGCAGGGAAGAAAAUGACGGUACCUGACUAAGAAGCCCCGGCUAACUACGUGCCAGCAGCCGCGGUAAUACGUAGGGGGCAAGCGUUAUCCGGAUUUACUGGGUGUAAAGGGAGCGUAGACGGCAGUGCAAGUCUGGAGUGAAAGGCGGGGGCGCAACCCCCGGACUGCACUGGAAACUGUACGGCUGGAGUGCAGGAGAGGUAAGUGGAAUUCCUAGUGUAGCGGUGAGAUGCGUAGAUAUUAGGAGGAACACCAGUGGCGAAGGCGGCUUACUGGACUGUAACGGACAUUGAGGCUCGAAAGCGUGGGGAGCAAACAGGAUUAGAUACCCCAGUAGUC
rnacentral:rRNA from 1 species